GUCCCCUUCGUCUAGUGGUCUAGGACGCCGCCCUUUCACGGCGGAAACACGGGUUCGAGUCCCGUAGGGGGCACCA
rnacentral:tRNA from 2 species